rnacentral:rRNA from 1 species
GACGAACGCUGGCGGCGUGCCUAAUACAUGCAAGUAGAACGCUGAAGGAGGAGCUUGCUUCUCUGGAUGAGUUGCGAACGGGUGAGUAACGCGUAGGUAACCUGCCUGGUAGCGGGGGAUAACUAUUGGAAACGAUAGCUAAUACCGCAUAAGAGUAGAUGUUGCAUGACAUUUGCUUAAAAGGUGCAAUUGUAUCACUACCAGAUGGACCUGCGUUGUAUUAUCUAGUUGGUGGGGUAACGGCUCAACAAGGCGACGAUACAUAGCCGACCUGAGAGGGGGAUCGGCCACACUGGGACUGAGACACGGCCCAGACUCCUACGGGAAGCAGCAGUAGGGAAUCUUCGGCAAUGGACGGAAGUCUGACCGAGCAACGCCGCGGGAGUGAAGAAGGGUUUCGGAUCGUAAAGAUCUGUUGUAAGAGAAGAACGAGUGUGAGAGUGGAAAGUUCACACUGUGACGGUAUCUUACCAGAAAGGGACGGCUAACUACGUG